AAUGAACGCUGGCGGCGUGUCUUAAGCAUGCAAGUCGUGCGGCAAGGGUAGCAAUACCCCUAGAGCGGCGGACUGGUGAGUAACGCGUGGGUGAUCUGCCCUUGGGUUGGGGAUAGCCAUUAGAAAUAGUGGGUAAUACCGAAUACGAUGGUGAGACUGUGGUCUUGUCAUGAAAGGCGCUUCGGCGCCACCCGAGGAUGAGCCCGCGUCCCAUUAGCUAGUUGGUGAGGUAACGGCCCACCAAGGCGAUGAUGGGUAGGCGGCCUGAGAGGGUGUACGCCCACAAUGGGACUGAGAUACGGCCCAGACUCCUACGGGAGGCAGCAGCUAAGAAUAUUCCGAAAUGGACGAAAGUCUGACGGAGCGACGCCGCGUGGGUGACGAAGGCCGAAAGGUUGUAAAAUCCUUUUGUUGGGGAAGAAUAAGGCUGGGAGGGAAUGCCCGGCUGAUGACAUGAACCGACGAAUAAGUCCCGGCUAACUACGUGCCAGCCGCCGCCGUAA
rnacentral:rRNA from 1 species